GGUGGUCGAGCACAAUGUAAAAAGCAGGCAGGCUGCUUGCCAAAAGGGCGACCGGCAUCCAGAUCCCGUACGGAGCGAGCACCGCGACCAUUGCCAAAAGCGUCAAGCCAUUUUGCAGGACGCUGCCUAAACUCUCGAGAAGCGUCAGGGGACGGUCGAGGGCAUGAUACUGCGCCCGAUAAAGGCGAUCAAAGUAUUCCG
rnacentral:misc_RNA from 1 species